rnacentral:lncRNA from 1 species
GCUUCUUUGAUUUGGCAUAGAAAGCAUGGCAGUGUGAUCCAAGAAAUCUUUAAGCUCCACAACAGAUUGAAGAACAGUUCUAAGAUCCUCAGAACAAGAGAAUCCAAAGCUACCAAUUUGCCUAACAGCAUAGACAUAGAAAGUGAUGCAACCUUUUCUGAAUUUGAACCUUGCCAUCUCAGAACCAACAAGGCCUCUUAUGAGUUUCUCAUUGACUUCACCAAGAGCAAUCUCAUGUGGCCAUGUUCUAUCAACUUGUGACUUCAUUGCUUCAUUCUCAAACACAAACACAAGAAC